CUAGUUUAUAAAUUGUAUCCGAAGUUUUGAUCCAUUGACAAACAUGGCCGCCAUGGCUAAAAAUAGAACAUAGGGGUCAAAUGCAGUUUUUGGCUUAUAUCUCAAAAACUAAAGCUUUUAGAGCAAAUCUGACAUGGGGUAAUGUUGUUCAAUUGGUCAAGAUCUAUCAACUCUGAAAUUUUCAGACGAAUCGAACAACCCAUUGUUGGGUUGCUGCCACUGAAUUGGUAGUUUUAACAAAAUUUUGCAGUUUUUAUACAACCGCAAAAAAAUUUUGCGGUCGUAUAUUGGUAUGACGUUGGCGUCGUCGUCGUUCGAAGACACAUUGGUUUUGGCACUCUAACUUUAGUUUAAGUGAAUGGAUCUCUAUGAAAUUUUACCAUAAGGUUCAAUACCACAAAAGGAAGGUUGAGAUUGAUUUUGGGGGUUAUGGUACCAACAGAUACGGAAUUAGGGGCCAACAAUAAGCAUUUUUGUAACUUCCAGACAUAACAUGUGUGUAAGUGUAUGGAUCUCUCUGACAUUGUACCACAAGGUUCCAUAUCACGAAGGGAAUGCUGGGAUUGAUUUUGGGGGUAAUUACCUCAAAAUUUUAGGAAUUAGGGGCCAAAAAAGGGGCAAAAAACAAGCAUUUUUCUAGUUUCAUGACAAUAACUUGUGUGUAAGUGUAUGGAUCUUUCUGAAAUUGUACUACAAGGUUCCAUAUCACAAAGGGAAAGCUGGAAUUGAGUUUGGGGGCAAUUGCCCAAAACGUUUAGGAAUAAGGGGCCAAAAAUUAGCAUUUUUCUAGUUUCCAGACAAUAACGUUUGUUCAAGUGUAUGGAUCUUUAUGAAAUUGUACUACAGGGUUCCAUAUCACAAAGGGAAAGCUGGAAUUGAGUUUGGGGGUAAUUGCCCAAAACGUUUAGGAAAAAGAGGCCAAAAAGGGCCAAAAAUAAGCAUUUUUCUAGGUUCCAGACAAUAACUUGUGUUCAAGUGUAUGGAUAUCUCUGAAAUUGUACUACAAGGUACCAUACCACAAAGGGAAGGCUGGGAUUGAUUUUGGGGGUAACUGCCUCAAAAGUUUAGGAA